AGUUAUCAUCCACCUGUGCUUGCACAAAGGUGGAUGCAUAACCUUGAGAUGCGUACUUCAAUGAGCAUAAAAGUGAAGCGAAAGCUUCACGAUAUGCGAAUUGAAGUUAACGGAUUGCGAGAGCACGUAGUGCGUAGCAAUCCGUUG
rnacentral:sRNA from 1 species